rnacentral:lncRNA from 1 species
CAUUUCUCACAUUGGUCAUAUACAAUUUUCUUAUCCUCCUACAGCCCACUGCCUACUCCCUGGACUCUUGAUAUGUUCUGGAUGUUGCAAGAAAUCAAUCUUUGGCUUCAGAACCAGGAUAGUCCACUUUGAAUUAGAAAUGACUGGCAACUGGGGAUUCAACCAUUGACAAAAGCCUACCUAGGAUGCAAACAUUUCAUGGUUCGAUGCCAACAGAUAAGCAAGGAUGGAGUUUGAAAAAAAAUACUGGAAUCCUGAGAGGAGCUAAUUGGUCUGAUUUGGUAGUCAUUAUUCACAAUAGUCAAGACGUGGAAGCAACCCAAGUGGCCAGUGACUGAUGAAUGGAUAAAGGAGAUGUAUAUAUAUACAAUGGAAUACUACUCAGCCAUGAAAAAAGACAAAAUCAUGCCAUUUGCAACAACAUGGAUGGACCUUAUGUUGUAUUAUGUUAAGUGAAAUAAGCCAGACAAACACAAACACCGUAUGAUUUCACGCAUAUGUGGAAGAUAAACAAAUGGAUAAAGAGAACAGAUCAGUGGUUACC